rnacentral:rRNA from 1 species
AUCAGCCGGUACUCGCGAAUGNCUNUAGGAUUUAAGUUUGAUCAUGGCUCAGAUCAACGCUAUNGGGAUGCCUUACACAUGCAAGUCGAACGGCAGCACAGACUUCGGUCUGGUGGCGAGUGGCGAACGGGUGAGUAAUGUAUCGGAACGUGCCCAGUAGUGGGGGAUAACUACGCGAAAGCGUAGCUAAUACCGCAUACGCCCUACGGGGGAAAGCAGGGGAUCGCAAGACCUUGACACUAUUGGAGCGGCCGAUAUCGGAUUAGCUAGUUGGUGGGGUAACGGCUCACCAAGGCGACGAUCCGUAGCUGGUUUGAGAGGACGACCAGCCACACUGGGACUGAGACACGGCCAGACUCCUACGGGAGGCAGCAGUGGGGAAUUUUGGACAAUGGGGGAAACCCUGAUCCAGCCAUCCCGCCGUGUGCGAUGAAGGCCUUCGGGUUGUAAAGCACUUUUGGCAGGAAAGAAAACGUCAUGGGUUAAUUACCCCGUGAAAACUGACGGGAACCUGGCAGCAAUAAGCACCGGCUAACGUACGUGCCAGCAGACCGCGGUAAUACGUAAGGGUGCAAGCCGUAAUCGGNAAUUAACUGGGCGUAAACGUGCGCNAGCGGUUCGGGAAGAANGCAUGUUGAAUCCAG